rnacentral:rRNA from 1 species
CACCGCGGUUAAACGAGGGGCCCUAGUUGAUAUUAUUACGGCGUAAAGGGUGGUUAAGGAUAAAACAUUGAUAAAGCCAAAUGGCCCUCUGGCCGUCAUACGCUUCUAGGUGUCCGAAGUCCAACCUCACGAAAGUAGCUUUAAUAAAACCCACCUGACUCCACGAAAGCUGAGAAA